ensembl:lncRNA
UGUGUUUGUUACUCUUAGCAUUUGUGCUAUAUUGGCCAUGACUACAUGUGUGUUUGCUACUGUUAACCUAUUUUUUUCUCUCUCUUUACUAUUCAAAGCCACCGAGCAGGACACUGUGUAUGCUGAUGUUAACCCAGACCAGAAACAAACACCUCGGAGAUCCCUCAGUGGGCCCAAUGAGAUGUCCAUCUAUGAGACUGUGAAUGAAGGAGCAAUUGGGAUUCAGAGCAAUCCACAGACAUUGUAUGACAAGAUAAACUUCACACGGCAAGGAGGAAAGAAAGACAUUUGCACCAGAGCAAUUGGGAAUCAGAGCAAUCCACAGACAUUGUAUGACAAAAUAAACUUCACACGGCAAGGAGGAAAGAGCGACGUUUGCCCCACGCUGUCUUCUCCAUAUCAAGAGGUGUAACUGGAUGAAAGGUUGAUCACAUGCGUCUGUACUCUUUCUUUGUAAUAAGCCUUUUAUGAAUAUGCUCUCAACUGAACCUGUGAAUUUGGCAUUUUUUUAUGUGAACUGUAAAAUUGAAAGUGCAUGUAUAUAUUAGCAAUAUAAAAAGAGGUACAGACUGAUUGCAUGUUGAUGUUGCACAUGUUUUUCUUUGUAGGGGGUGGAUCAGUGUAUUGUCUAUUGUAUUGCUAGCAUGUUUAGAUUUUUUGUAAAUGAAUACAUAUAAUACUGUAUACAUGUGUCCUUUAAACUAUGUGUGUUUUCUUAAAACUAAAACAUAUAAUACACGUGUCGUUUGAACUGUGUGUUUUUUUUUACUAAUACAUAUAAUAAACAUGUGUCCUUUGAACU